rnacentral:rRNA from 1 species
UACGGAGGGUGCGAGCGUUGUCCGGAAUCACUGGGCGUAAAGGGCGCGUAGGCGGCCUGGCAAGUCGGUGGUGAAAGCUCGGGGCUUAACUCCGAGUCAGCCAUCGAUACUGCGAGGCUCGAGUCGACUAGAGGCAGAUGGAAUUCCGGGUGUAGCGGUGGAAUGCGUAGAGAUCCGGAAGAACACCGGUGGCGAAGGCGGUCUGCUGGGGUCGAACUGACGCUGAGGCGCGACAGCGUGGGGAGCAAACAGG